rnacentral:rRNA from 1 species
UACGGGGGGAGCAAGCGUUGUUCGGAUUUACUGGGCGUAAAGCGCACGUAGGCGGCUUUGUAAGUCGGGGGUGAAAGCCUGUGGCUCAACCACAGAAUUGCCUUCGAUACUGCAUGGCUUGAGACCGGAAGAGGUUAGUGGAACUGCGAGUGUAGAGGUGAAAUUCGUAGAUAUUCGCAAGAACACCAGUGGCGAAGGCGGCUGACUGGUCCGGUUCUGACGCUGAGGCGCGAAAGCGUGGGGAGCAAACAGG